AGGGAUUGCCCUAGUAACGGCGAGUGAAGCGGCAAUAGCUCAAAUUUGAAAUCUGGCUUCCUUGGAAGUCCGAGUUGUAAUUUGCAGAGGGCGCUUUGGCGUCGGUAGCGGUCUAAGUUCCUUGGAACAGGACGUCACAGAGGGUGAGAAUCCCGUACGUGGUCGACUACCUUCGCCGUGUAAAGCCCCUUCGACGAGUCGAGUUGUUUGGGAAUGCAGCUCUAAAUGGGAGGUAAAUUUCUUCUAAAGCUAAAUACUGGCCAGAGACCGAUAGCGCACAAGUAGAGUGAUCGAAAGAUGAAAAGCACUUUGGAAAGAGAGUCAAACAGCACGUGAAAUUGUUGAAAGGGAAGCGCUUGCCGCCAGACGUGCCCGUGGUGGUUCUCCUCCGCGGGCAGGCCAGCAUCAGUUUGGGCGAUCGGAUAAAGGCCUCUGUCAUGUAUCUCCCUUCGGGGUGACCUUAUAGGGGAGGCGUAAUGCGAUCAGCCUGGACUGAGGUCCGCGCAUCUGCUAGGAUGCUGGCGUAAUGGCUGUAAGCGGCCCGUCUUGAAACACGGACCAAGGAGUCUAACAUCUAUGCGAGUGUUUGGGUGUCAAGCCCGAGCGCGUAAUGAAAGUGAACGGAGGUGGGAACCCUUUGGGUGCACCAUCGACCGAUCCUGAAGUCUUCGGAUGGAUUUGAGUAAGAGCAUGGCUGUUGGGACCCGAAAGAUGGUGAACUAUGCUUGAAUAGGGUGAAGCCAGAGGAAACUCUGGUGGAGGCUCGCAGCGGUUCUGACGUGCAAAUCGAUCGUCAAAUUUGGGCAUAGGGGCGAAAGACUAAUCGAACUAUCUAGUAGCUGGUUCCUGCCGAAGGUCCGGACUAGAAAUAUACAAA
rnacentral:rRNA from 1 species